UCUAGGGGUCAGCAAACUUUAUCUGUAAAGGGCCAGUAAAUAUUUUAGGCUUUGCAGGCCAUAUGGUCUUGAGACUGUUAAAUUCUGCUGUUGUAGCUUGAAAGCAGCCUUUGACAAUAUGUAAAUGAAUGACCAUGGCUGUUACCCAGUAAAACUCAAUUUAAAAUACAGGUGAGGCCAGGUGUGGUGGCUCAGGCCUGUAAUCCCAGCACUUUGGGAGGCCAAGGUGGGUGGAUCGCCUGAGGUCAGGAGUUUGAGACUAGCCUGGCCAACAUAGAGAAACCCUAUCUCUACUAAAAAUACUGAAAUUAAGCUGGGCACGGCAGUGGGCACCUGUAAUCCCAGCACUUUGGGAGGCUGAGGUGGGUGGAUCACCUGAGGUCAGGAGUGCAAGACCAGCCUGGCCAACACGGUGAGACCCCAUCUCUACUAAAAAUACAAAAUUAGCUGGGCGUGGUGGCACAUGCCUGUAAUCCUAGCUACUCAGGAGGCAAGGCUGGAGAAUCACUUGAACCCAGGAGGCAGAGAUUGCAGUGAGCUGAGAUUGCACCAUUGCACUCCAGCCUGGGCAACAAGAAUGAAACUCCAUCUCAAAAAAAAAAAAAAAAAAAUUAGCCGGGCUUGGUGGCACAUGCCUGAAAUCCCAGUUACUGGGGAGGCUGAGGUGGGAGGAUCCCUUGAACCGGGGAGUUCGAGGUUGCAGUGAGCUAUGAUAGUGCCACUGCACUCCAGCCUGGGUAACAGAGCAAGACUCUGUCUAAAAAAAAAAAGAUCCCCAGGUAUAAUCCAGAUCUAGUGAAUCAGAAACUCUGGGGGUGGGGCCAAUAGUAUAGGUUUUAGAAGCCUUCCAGGUGAUUCUUCUGCAAGCUCAAAUUGGAGAACCCUGCUCUCAGUCUGCUGCCAAAGCUGUCUGCUCCAGAGAGUUUUUGGUAGUUAGCCAUACCUCUGGACAGUCCUCUUCCCCUUCCUCCCUCACAAAUUUAAGUACACCCUUAGUACUUAAUUAACUCUUAGGUACCUAGAGAUUUGCUCUCUGCUUGUUUCAUGUUUCUAUAUUUUGUCUCCCAGUUAGAUUGAAACCCGUUGAAGGUACAGUAUGUGUGUGACUCCUUCCAUCUCUACCCCACCACUGAUCCAUUUUAAGCAUUUAAUAAAGGCAAGGAAGGCCUUCACCUUUAUUAACUUUUUUGAAAAAUCAGAAUUUUCAGCCCACAAUUCACUUUCAAAAAUACACAUUAAGUGCCUACUCUGUGCCAGGCCCUGUUUUAAGGCACAAGUCCUGGCCUUCAUGAAACUUACAUUCCAGUCAGGGAGACAUAAUAAGCACAUAAAUUAUCAAUAAAUACUAUGAAGAAAAAUAAAGCAAGAUAAUACAGUGGCGACUGGCGGGGUGACAGAUUUUAAACAGCCUGGUCACAGCAAGGCCAAGAAGAGAGCACUGCAUUUUUAGGACCUAAAAGAGAAUAUGCAGGCCUUUUAUGUUCUCCUCUUCACAGAUCAAGCCUAACAGUACUCGUUUCAGUAUUAGGCAGGUUAGAAUGCCCUGUGCUGCAGGAACAACAACAAAAGCUCAGUGGCUUUGCACGUAAACGUUCACUUCUCUCUCACACAAGUCGAAUGCAGGCUGAGGCUCCUGAAGGCUUCAGGAGCACAGCAGCACCUUGUUGACCUGCAGCACCCUGCCUGCUUGGCCCGGUCUCUUCACGCUGUCGCUCAGUGCACAAUUGAAUUUUCCUCCUGAGGAAGUUGAUGGCUGCUGGAACACGCAACGACGUUCAAUACGAUGAUGAACAAAAAGUAUCUGCAAUUAGACAUACCUCCGCAGCACUGCUGUUUGCUGUGUCUUAAAGGAGGUUGUUUGGAAAAAAACGAAGAGGAGUUGAUGACAUUGUUCCAAGCUCUGCAUAUAUGGGAACACUUGAACUUUUUACACAGUAGGAAAACAUUUCAUUUGUCCCCUGCCUAUACAGCCCAAGCUCCUGUCUCGGUGUUUCUUUCUAUCUUUCAGCAAGUGCUGCAAAUAGGCAAAGGAUGGCAAAGGAACAGCAACCCUCCCCUGUGAAUCGGGGCCAUUCACGGUUAGAGUCACCAAACCUGUAUUUCAGGGGACAUCUUUCCAGCUCCCAAUCUCCCAGCUUGGCUGGCUGCCCUGAAAAGGGACUGGGACUUGGCUCUGGGAAAGACAUGGCUCCCUUUCAGGCUGAGUGAAACCCCUAAGGGUCCCUCCCGUUUUCUAAUAUCAGGGCUUGCUACCUGAGCUCAUUGUUUGUUAGUGUUGGAAAAGUUUCCUGCUGCUUUCCAACCUGGCCCAUCUACCCUGGGGCUGAGAAGGGGAAAAGUCGCUGAUGUCAUAACCCAGCUUGGUUUUGCUGCCAGUGGCAAGGGGAUGGGAGUAAGCCAGCGAGCAGCCUUCCCUGGGGCAGCAAUGACGGCAGGAGCCCCAGGCCGGCCAGCCGUGCAAAAUAGGCUGCAAUCUUCAUAACAAAAAAGCCACCCUUGACAACAUAUCCCUAGGGUGCGGGGGGCCUCUUUACGCCUUUGUCUCUCUGUAUGUCUCUCUCUCUGUCUCUCCAUUUCUCUGUGUAUUUUUCUGUCUCCGUCUCUGUCUCUCUGUGUCUGUUUCUCUCUGUCUCUGUUUCUCUUUCUCUUGCUAAGGAACAGCUCUUGCCACUUUAUAGUGGCAAGACUACUUAUUCUCUGUUUUGAAAUGCAGAAUAUGCCAGGGAUUGGGGUAUCUAGCACAUCACCUCUUCAGACUUCAUGCACUGUGCCCACAGUGCCCCUCCGCAGGCUUGUGCUGGGCUGGACAAGCCUUCCCUUCGUCCCUCCCCAAGCCUAGAUUCCAGCGUGCCCUCCCUGCAGAAGCUGGUCUCCCUUCCCCUCUCCCUGCAUGCUCCCUACUGACCUCUUCCCGCAGCCAGGGAGCAUCUGGGGCAAAUGCAAACAGUUCUGUGGUCUGCUUAUUUGCUUUUCUUAGUGCAAAGGUGGAGGCAGAAUGUGGUUAGUGCAGCCACCAUGGCUGCCAGGAACAAAGUCAGUUCUGGGGAAGGGGAGCGCCAGAGCCUGCCAGCCCAGCAGCCAGCCCUGCCGGAAGGCCCCCAAGCCAGGAUCCUGUCAGUCUCCAUCUAGAAACCAGACAGAAAGCACUUUUGUAAAUGUUAACCAAAAAGGUCCCCCUGUGAUGGCUGUGCUGUAAAUCAAAGUAGACAAUGUGGGGUGGGGGCAGGGCACACGUCUUGUCUCUGGAGCCAUCGCAAAGCAGGGAGGGGAUGCUCCUUCAACUCUCAGGUGGGGACUGGAGCUCCCCGCUAGUCCACGCUGGAGAAAGGUUUUUAGGGCCUGGAGUCACCCAGGACCCAUCUCUGUCCAGGGGGUGCUGUGUAAUAUUCACCAUUAAUCCUACACAUCUGGGAAGCAUUCUCCUGCUAAAGAUAAGAUAAAGCCCAAAUGAUUUGUGUUGGGGGCUGGCUGGGGGGCUGGGGGGAGGCCAGACCUGGAAGGCUGGGCACACAGGAGCACCCUAACCAGCAAGCGGGGGACGCAGCCUCCGCGGCAUACUCCCACAGUCUGUCUGUGUUGCCGGGCAGAUUCCCUAAGCAUGGUGCACUGAGGUACACAGGGAAUCUGGAAAAUUAUUUUGCUUUACACAAUGGAGACUGUGUUAUUUAAGUUUAAAAUACCAUGGGGGAGGAAGGUAAGCAUAAUCAGCUUUAUAAGAGAACAAGCAGGCAGGGGAGCUUUUCCCAGAUUCCACCCUUUUGUUAAAUCUCUGAGGUUUCCAGAAUGUAGUUCUUCCUCGCUCCUGCCGCCUCCCACCUUCCUUCCCCACUCUCCCCUCUCCCUCUCUGCCUUUCUCUGUGUCUGUGCCUCUAUAACAAUAAAAAUCAUCAACGCAGCCAUUGCUGUGAGCAAGGUACUGUUUCAAGUGCUUUUCAGAUCACGUAACCCCCAAAACUCUAUGAGGAAGGUUCUGCUUUCUUCUCUGCAUUGCGCUCUCUUUCUCUCCCGCUGCCUCUGCCUCUC
rnacentral:lncRNA from 10 species